rnacentral:misc_RNA from 1 species
AAGGAUCAUUAACAAAUCUGCUAUAUGGCGAGCUUGCUCGUGCAUAUAUAUUUACCCCGAGCCUGGCAGCAAUGCCGGCUUUGGUUGGGUGGGGCGCAAGCCCUGCUCCGGUUGUGCGGCGUUAACGCGUUGCCUACCACAUAGACGCUUGUAUGUUUGACAGAGUUACAGUUGUAAAACUAAAAUGACAACUUUUAACAAUGGAUCUCUUGGCUCUU